rnacentral:rRNA from 1 species
CCUACGGGAGGCAGCAGUAGGGAAUCUUCGGCAAUGGGGGGCAACCCUGACCGAGCAACGCCGCGUGAGUGAAGAAGGUUUUCGGAUCGUAAAGCUCUGUUGUAAGUCAAGAACGAGUGUGAGAGUGGAAAGUUCACACUGUGACGGUAGCUUACCAGAAAGGGACGGCUAACUACGUGC